rnacentral:sRNA from 2 species
AUGGCCAUCGUACCUUCCGAUUCCUCCGCACCGUCCGCACCCACCUGACGAUUGCUCGCUGCGUCUGUUAACC